rnacentral:rRNA from 1 species
UANGUNNCANGCGUUGUCCGGAAUGACUGGGCGUAAAGGGUGCCGUAGGUGGCUUAACANGUUGNUAGUGAAAUUCCGAGGCUUAACUUCGGCGCUACUACCAAGACUGUUGAGCUUGAGUACNGGAGAGGUAAGUGGAAUUCCUAGUGUAGCGGUGGAAUGCGUAGAUAUUAGGAGGAACACCAGUGGCGAAGGCGACUUACUGGCCUGCAACUGACACUGAGGCACGAAAGCGUGGGGAGCAAACAGGAUUAGAUUCCCUGGUAGUCCACGCCGUAAACGAUGAUUACUAGGUAUGGGAGGUAUCGACUCCUUCCGUGCCGCAGCAAACGCAAUAAGUAAUCCGCCUGGGGAGU